UUGAACGCUGGCGGCGUGCUUAACACAUGCAAGUCGCGCGUGAAAGCCUUCGGGAUGAGUAAAGCGGCGCACGGGUGAGUAACGCGUGGAUGAUCUACCCAUGAGUUGGGAAUAACGGUUGGAAACGAUCGCUAAUACCCGGUACGUUCCGAUUUCAACUUCGGGAGAAAGGGGGCCUCUGCUUGCAAGCUUCUGCUCAUGGAUGAGUCCGCGUCCCAUUAGCUAGUUGGUGAGGUAACGGCUCACCAAGGCAUCGAUGGGUAGCCGGUCUGAGAGGAUGACCGGCCACACUGGGACUGGAACACGGCCCAGACUCCUACGGGAGGCAGCAGUGGGGAAUAUUGCGCAAUGGGCGAAAGCCUGACGCAGCGACGCCGCGUGAGGGAUGAAAGGUCUUCGGAUCGUAAACCUCUGUCAAGAGGGAAGAAACGUCAGGGCGCUAAUCAGCCCUGAUCUGACGGUACCUCUAAAGGAAGCACCGGCUAACUCCGUGCCAGCCGCAGC
rnacentral:rRNA from 1 species